rnacentral:rRNA from 1 species
GAUGAACGCUGGCGGCGUGCUUAACACAUGCAAGUCGAACGAUGAAGCCCAGCUUGCUGGGUGGAUUAGUGGCGAACGGGUGAGUAACACGUGAGUAACCUCCCCUUAACUCUGGGAUAAGCCUGGGAAACUGGGUCUAAUACCGGAUAGGAGCGCCUACCGCAUGGUGGGUGUUGGAAAGAUUUAUCGGUUUUGGAUGGACUCGCGGCCUAUCAGCUUGUUGGUGAGGUAAUGGCUCACCAAGGCGACGACGGGUAGCCGGCCUGAGAGGGUGACCGGCCACACUGGGACUGAGACACGGCCCAGACUCCUACGGGAGGCAGCAGUGGGGAAUAUUGCACAAUGGGCGCAAGCCUGAUGCAGCGACGCCGCGUGAGGGAUGACGGCCUUCGGGUUGUAAACCUCUUUCAGUAGGGAAGAAGCGAAAGUGACGGUACCUGCAGAAGAAGCACCGGCUAACUACGUG